AGGCCAGGCCAAAGCCCUGCUCCAGCCCAGCUCUGCCAAGUGCCCUGGGCUGGGAGCAGCCAAAGGCAAGAGGCUGCAGCCCCGCCGGCCGGGCUGGGGGCUCCUGGUGCUGCCCGUGGGGUGGGGUGUGCCCAGGACGCUGCUAAUGCCCAGGGAUCUGCUCUGGGUCCAGGCUGUCCGUGCUGGAGGGCCCUGGUGGCUGCAGUCCCUGAGCCUGCAGAGACAGAGAGAGCCCCGGCCCGAGGGGCCUUUGGCCCCUUGUCCUGAAUUUGGGGUGAGCCUGGGAGCGUGUGGAGGAUGCUGGAAUUGGCUCUCUGGGUGUGUGCUGAGCUCUGGCUGCAGGGGACUGUCAGGCCUUGGUGGCUGUGAGCACAAAGAAUGUCCAUCCUGAGGUAAACUGGGGUAAUCAGCAGUGGACACGUAGGGAAAGUUUUGGGGGGAAAUGUCUGAGGUAAUCUCCAUGUUAGAGAAUGAAUAUUGAGAGGUGAACAGGAGGUACUCAGUGGUGGACCUGUAGGGGAAAUUGUGGGGGUCAAAUCUGUGGCAAUGUGCAGCAGAGGGAAGGAACAUUUUGGAAUCAAGUGAGGCAGUCAGUAGGGGAGAGGCUCAGGAAUUUCUGAGGGUCAAACUGGAGCAAAUCUGCAGGGCAGAGAAUGAAUAUUUGGAGGUCCAACAGAGGUAACCAGGAGUGUGCAGGUAGG